UGGGAAUAAUACUGUUGUAGUCUGUUUUCUGCUGCUAUAACAGAAUACCACAGACCGGGUAAUUUAUAAACAAUAGAAGUUUAUUUGGCUCAUGAUUCCGGAGGCUGGGAUAUCCAAGAGCAUGGUGCCAGCAUCUGGGAAGGGCCUUUGUGCUGUACCAUCCCAAGGUAGAGGGUGAAACAGCAAGCAAGUAUACACAGAGCAAGAGAGCAAGAGGGGGCUGAACGUGCUUUAAUAACAAGCCCACUCUCUUGAUAACUAAUUCAUUCCCAUGACAAUGACAUUGAGGGCAGGGUUCUCAUAAACUAAUCACCUCUUGCUAGGCCUCACUCCCAACACUGUUGCAUUGGGGUUCAAGUUUCCAACACAUGAAUUGUUGGGGAUACAUUCAAAGCAUAGCAAAUACCCGUCAUACAGGACUAUGGGAGGAGUAAAGAAGGCAGAUCUGUAAAGCAAGCAGCCUCUUCACACAACACCAAGCCUGGGUGUAGUAUGUGCCCAGUUAGGCAAAUUAGUCUUGAAAACCUAGGAGAUAUACCUUUGCUUUGUGCUGGGCACUUGGAACAGAUGGAAAGUCUGCCAGAUCCCCCUUUUUUGUAGGGAGCACACACUUUAUCUAAGGCCUUUUCAGCAUGUGACCUAGCCACCUGCCUGCUUGCAUGCACCCCAAAAGAUAGACAUGUGUGACCUACAGGCAACUUUGCUAUCUGAUUUCCCUGUGGGCAUGGCACACUUUGGUUGCAGAUAACUUGCCCUUGCUUAUUCCUUCUGAACUUUAACAGUAACCCUGAAAGGUAGACACUCUCAUUCUCCCUAUUUUACAAAUGAAGAAACUAAGGAUCAAGUUGGUGAAGGAUUCCCUGUGGGUCACUAGGAGCAGGGCCCUGGUGACACAGAUGGAGAAAGGCAAGGAUCUCCGUUGGCCCUAUGCUCUCCUGAAGUUCACAUGCUGAAGAGGACAUAGGCAGUGGGCAAGGAAACAAGGGACUGUCAAUGGUGACACUGCUGUGGGGCAGCUCAACGGGGACAGAGGCAGGGCUGGGGUGCAGAGGGCGGUCUGCCCGACCUGACCAGGGGAGCAGGGAUUUGUGGAAUUGAGACCUGAAGAGUGAAGAGGAGACAGCCAUAAGCAGAUGGGGUCGCUCCAGGCCAAGGUCCUGAGGGGGCCCAGGCUUGAUGGCACGGAAGCCUGGGUAGUUUGGAGAGGGGCUCGAGGAACCCUGGAAGGUAGCCAGAGGCACACCUCGCUGGACCUGCAGGCCCUGGAAAAGAGUCUGGAUUUGAUUCCAGUGGCAUGGAAAAGCCAUUGGAAAAUUUCCCUCCAGAGGAAAGGCAGCACCAAAUUUAUGAUUUAAAGCCCAAACUGGCUGGCAGGAGCUGCUAGAGGGUCUGUCUCCACAGAGGACCCUGUUGUAUGACCUGCACCAUCCAGCAGGGGUCUGGUCGCUGUAUCAGUGAUGACCAUGAACUAGGCCCUGAGGGGCCUGGAUAUCACACACACAAGCUCCUCAAUACUCCCGGAAACGGCUACCCAUGAACAGAGAGAGACAGCUAGGGGUAGAAAGCAGCGAGUGUGGCAUAGUCAAUGAAACACCAAUUGUCCCUCAAGUGCCACCCCUAAAACCUCUUGUGAGUGUUUGCUCCAGGCCCAUCUGGGUUGGAGGAGAAAGCAACUUCCCCUUGCAGGUUGAGGGCACGCACAGCUUCAGGCCAACCCUUUCUACCUCCACACCCGAUGGCUCCAUAUUGCUGGCGUGGAAUGUGUUGUAUUGACUCACACGGGAAGUGGGGCCCUUUCACCGUGGGCACAGAGUGGCUUGAUGGAGAUGGGUAGGCAGCAAGGACAGGGGUGCCAUCUUAGAGGAUUAUCCCUGUGUCCCCAUGGCUGCCCAUGGCAGGGCUCCCCUUGAAUCCUCACUUGGAAAAAGCCUCUUCCUGAACAGCAAAUGUUUAAAAUGGCCUUGUGACCCCACCGAGCCAGUCAUGGAGCCCUCAGAUGACCUGCCGCAAGACACUUGUCCCAAGCCAGCCACCUCAGUGGGCAGUCAGCAUUCUGGGGACCUUAUCAGAGGACAUGUCCUUCCUUGGCAUCAGGUGAUCCAGCCUCUGGGCAUAUGGGAACUGUGGGGGUUGCAUGUGGCAAGACUGAAGAUUUCCCUCAUCAGUGAUAAAGACAUUGAUAAAAGGCUUUGCCACCCUAGGCUUCAGGGUCAUAUCGCAGAGGGCAGGCAGAAUAGGCUCUGAAAAUGAUGAGAGGAGCCCAGGCCAGAUUGAGAAGAGAGCACCUUCUUGCCAUGCUCGCCCUGUUAGAAAGAAGCUGGAAGCUGACGUAUCUUCACCUCCCAUGCUGUGCUCUACACAUGGAGUAGUAUUUAGAAUAACGAUAAUGAGAAUCAUCUUCACGCUUUGAGUAUGUAUUAAGUGCUUAUUAUGUUAACCAUUUUUCAUAUAUUUUCUCAAUUAGUUCUCCCCUAAAUUUAGAAAUAUUUUGAGAUGACAAGGUUGGAGCUCAGAGAAAUUAAGUGACUUGUCUGAGGUCACACUCACACAGGCUAAGUCUGGACUAUAGCUCAGGUCUUCCUAACUCCAAAAACUAGGCUUGUAACACCUAAACUUAAUUCAGACUAAAGUUGUAAAGUUCCUAUUCCAGAGUGUGAAUUGAUUCAUUCUCAACAAGUCCUUUGGGCAUUGUUGUAACUCAUUAAGCUAAAAUCCCCUUGGGGAAUUUUUACACACAGUGCUGGAACUGGGUCAGCUUGUGUCCCCUUUGGAGUUGAAACCUGGGACCAGAGUGAGCCGAGUUAGGAAGCAGCUCCCCUUGCAGAGUGCUGAAUGCUGCCUCUUCUUGUUUUAUUUUUACUGUUUACAUGUACUAUAAAAGUAGUGCAGGCUUGUUUCAAGAAAUGCAAACAUCAUGGGAAAAUAUCAUCUGAAAGUGUAACAGUCUGUAUGUUAAUCAGCGUCCCAGCAGAAAACAGAUGGCACACUCAAAAUAGGGUCAUUUCAGAGGAGUUUAGUAAAGGCACUACUUGCAAAGGUGCAAGCAGGUCACAGGGUGGGGAAGUGGUCAUCCAAUGCAAAGGCAGGGUGCUCUAGGUAGAUGGCUCCCCUGGACAGAGCAACCAGCCUCCAUCAGCAGAAACCGGGAGUAACCUGGCUGCAGGGCUCCAGGGAAGAAACAUCCUGACCUCAGCUCUUCCUGUUGUCUCCAUAUUUUCUGGUGGUGCAGACAGCAGUGCCCGUGAGUGGUCCCAGGACAGAGGUCUGGGCUGAGACAGUAGGGUUUAGAUUCAGAGGGGCCAGAAGGUAUUCCUCACAUCCCUCAGAAUUUUACCUCAUAAAGUAACCUCUGUGGGUAGUGAUGUCUCUAAACACACUCCUAGGGACUGAGUCCAAAGGUCACUUGCCCAUCUGGAUUGUUCUCCCCACGGAAGCCCCUGCAGUUGGCUGCCCUCUAGUAUGGCAAGGAAUUGAGAGAGUAGAACACAGUCUUUGUUGCAUACACAGAGAAUACCAUGAAUCCAAUGAGAGUAAUGGAAACGUGAAAGAGGGGCAGGGAGGUGGCAGCACAGAGGCUGGGUCCCCAGAGAUGGGCUGAGAAGCGGAGAGGAAGAUAAGCCAGCAUCCCCACCCAGGCUGCAGGGCUGGGUCCCCACAUGCUGCUUCUGGAAACGCUCACC
rnacentral:lncRNA from 1 species